rnacentral:rRNA from 1 species
ACGGCUCAGUAACACGUGGAUAACCUACCCUCAGAUCUGGGAUAACUCCGGGAAACUGGAGAUAAUACCGGAUAAUCCGUGAACGCUGGAAUGCCUUACGGUUCAAAGCUUUAGCGUCUGAGGAUGGGUCUGCGGCCGAUUAGGUAGUUGCUGGGGUAACGUCCCAACAAGCCGAUAAUCGGUACGGGUUGUGAGAGCAAGAGCCCGGAGAUGGAUUCUGAGACACGAAUCCAGGCCCUACGGGGUGCAGCAGGCGCGAAAACUUUACAAUGCCGGCAACGGCGAUAAGGGAACCUCGAGUGCCAGGUUACAAAUCUGGCUGUCGUGAUGCCUAAAAAGCAUUGCAUAGCAAGGGCCGGGCAAGACCGGUGCCAGCCGCCGCGGUAACCCCAGCGCCACAAGUGAUUAUCACGAUUAUUGGGCCUAAAGCGUUCGUAGCCGGUUUGGUAAAUCUCUUGUGAAAUUGUUCGGCUUAACCGGACAGCGUGCAGGAGACACUGCCAGACUCGAGACCGGGAGGCGUUAGAAGUAUUCCAUGGGGACUGGUAAAAUGGGAUAAUCCAUGGAAGACUACCGAUGGCGAAGGCAUCUAACGAGAACGGAUCUGACGGUGAGGAACGAGAGCUAGGGGAGCAAACCGGAUUAGAUACCCGGGUAGUCCUAGCCGUAAACAAUGCAGGCUGUGUGUUCCCUGAACCUCGAGUUCAGGGAGUGCUGAAGGGAAACCGUUAAGCCUGCCGCCUGGGGAGUACGGUCGCAAGGCUGAAACUUAAAGGAAUUGGCGGGGGAGCAC